rnacentral:rRNA from 1 species
CGGGCGGGGAUUAGUGGCGAACGGGUGAGUAACACGUGGGCAAUCUGCCCUGCACUCUGGGACAAGCCCUGGAAACGGGGUCUAAUACCGGAUACAACCACUUCGGGCAUCCGAUGGUGGUGGAAAGCUCCGGCGGUGCAGGAUGAGCCCGCGGCCUAUCAGCUUGUUGGUGAGGUAACGGCUCACCAAGGCGACGACGGGUAGCCGGCCUGAGAGGGCGACCGGCCACACUGGGACUGAGACACGGCCCAGACUCCUACGGGAGGCAGCAGUGGGGAAUAUUGCACAAUGGGCGCAAGCCUGAUGCAGCGACGCCGCGUGAGGGAUGACGGCCUUCGGGUUGUAAACCUCUUUCAGCAGGGAAGAAGCGCAAGUGACGGUACCUGCAGAAGAAGCGCCGGCUAACUACGUGCCAGCAGCCGCGGUAAUACGUAGGGCGCGAGCGUUGUCCGGAAUUAUUGGGCGUAAAGAGCUCGUAGGCGGCUUGUCGCGUCGGUUGUGAAAGCCCGGGGCUUAACCCCGGGUCUGCAGUCGAUACGGGCAGGCUAGAGUUCGGUAGGGGAGAUCGGAAUUCCUGGUGUAGCGGUGAAAUGCGCAGAUAUCAGGAGGAACACCGGUGGCGAAGGCGGAUCUCUGGGCCGAUACUGACGCUGAGGAGCGAAAGCGUGGGGAGCGAACAGGAUUAGAUACCCUGGUAGUCCACGCCGUAAACGGUGGGCACUAGGUGUGGGCGACAUUCCACGUCGUCCGUGCCGCANCUAACGCAUUAAGUGCCCCGCCUGGGGAGUACGGCCGCAAGGCUAAAACUCANAGGAAUUGACGGGGGCCCGCACAAGCGGCGGAGCAUGUGGCUUAAUUCNACGCAACGCGAAGAACCUUACCAAGGCUUGACAUACACCGGAAAACCCUG